AAUGAGCAAGUCGCUCAGCCAGAGUGCGUUCCCAGGGAGACUAGCAUAAGUGAGAAAGAGUAAGAAGCAGAAGAGCAUGAAUGAGAGAGAGCAGAAAGAAGAAUGAAGAACCAAGGCAGAAAGAGUGACAGGAGAUGCAGUAGUGGAGAGAGGCCAGAGACCCGGAGCCCCUCUUGCGUUUCACAGAUGUUUGUGACAGCCCAACUUGUGGCUGGAUCUGAAAUACGAGUUAUUUAUUGAGAACCUAGUAUGUCAUACGUUGGAGAAAGAAGAGUGACUGUAUCGCGAUCCUUGCUCAUGUGGAGCCUGUAGGAAUUCUGCGUGUAACCUGGCUACAUCCUCUUCUUGUGAAAAUAGAAUAGGAAGAUGUUUCCUCUGGGAAGUGAUCUGUGGCGACCAUGGUCAAUGUAGGAAGACAGUCAGGUAAAGGGGACUUGGUAUGGUCGCUCUGCCUGCAGGAACGAUGAACCCCAUCUGUAAGAAGAGCACAGGAUGUGACUGGAGACUCAGGGAACAAAUCCGUGGCCUCAAGAGGGCUUCGGGUAAUGAGUGUGUCUUCAAACUAAGCA
rnacentral:lncRNA from 1 species